GACGAACGCUGGCGGCGUGCCUAAUACAUGCAAGUUGAGCGAUGAAGAUUGGUGCUUGCACCAAUUUGAAGAGCAGCGAACGGGUGAGUAACGCGUGGGGAAUCUGCCUUUGAGCGGGGGACAACAUUUGGAAACGAAUGCUAAUACCGCAUAAUAACUUUAAACAUAAGUUUUAAGUUUGAAAGGUGCAAUUGCAUCACUCAAAGAUGAUCCCGCGUUGUAUUAGCUAGUUGGUGAGGUAAAGGCUCACCAAGGCGAUGAUACAUAGCCGACCUGAGAGGGUGAUCGGCCACAUUGGGACUGAGACACGGCCCAAACUCCUACGGGAGGCAGCAGUAGGGAAUCUUCGGCAAUGGACGAAAGUCUGACCGAGCAACGCCGCGUGAGUGAAGAAGGUUUUCGGAUCGUAAAACUCUGUUGGUAGAGAAGAACGUUGGUGAGAGUGGAAAGCUCAUCAAGUGACGGUAACUACCCAGAAAGGGACGGCUAACUACGUG
rnacentral:rRNA from 1 species